GAGUUUGAUCCUGGCUCAGGAUGAACGCUGGCUGUGUGCCUAAUACAUGCAUGUCGAACGAAGCACUUGUGCUUAGUGGCGAAUGGGUGAGUAACACGUACUUAAUCUACCCUCAAGUUUGGGACAACAUUUGGAAACGGAUGCUAAUACCAAAUAUUUAUUACUUUCGCAUGGAAGAAAUAUAAAAGGAGCGUUUGCUCCGCUUAAGGAUGAGAGUGCCUUGCAUUAGUUAGUUGGUAGGGUAAAGGCCUACCAAGACGAUGAUAGAGUUAUAGAGAGAUUAGCGGAACUCCAUGUGAAGCGGUGGAAUGCGUAGAUAUAUGGAAGAACACCAAUAGCGAAGGCAGCUAAUUGGCUAUACACUGACGCUGAGGAACGAAAGCGUGGGGAGCAAACAGGAUUAGAUACCCUGGUAGUCCACGCCGUAAACGAUGAUCGUUAGCCGGUGGAUUCAAUUCACUGGCACAGCUAACGCGUUAAACGAUCCGCCUGAGUAGUAUGCUCGCAAGAGUGAAACUUAAAGGAAUUGACGGGGACCCGCACAAGCGGUGGAGCAUGUGGUUUAAUUUGAAGAUACGCGGAGAACCUUACCCACUUUUGACAUCUUCUGCAAAACUAUAGAGAUAUAGCGGAGGUUAACAGAAUGACAGAUGGUGCAUGGUUGUCGUCAGCUCGUGUCGUGAGAUGUUAGGUUAAGUCCUGCAACGAGCGCAACCCCUAUCAUUAGUUACUAAUAUUAAGUUAAGGACUCUAAUGAGACUGCCUGGGUAACCAGGAGGAAGGUGGGGACGACGUCAAAUCAUCAUGCCUCUUACAAGUGGGGCUACACACGUGCUACAAUGGGCAGUACAGAAUGAUGCAACAUGGCAACAUUUAGCAAAACACAAAAACUGCUCUCAGUUCGGAUUGGAGUCUGCAACUCGACUCCAUGAAGUUGGAAUCGCUAGUAAUCGUAGGUCAGCAAUACUACGGUGAAUACGUUCUCGGGUCUUGUACACACCGCCCGUCACACCACGGGAGCCGAUAAUGCCCGAAGCCGGUUGGUUAACCCAAUUCGUUGGGAUGCUGCUGUCUAAGGCAGGAUUGGUAACUGGGGUGAAGUCGUAACAAGGUAUCCCUACGAGAACGUGGGGCUGGAUCACCUCCUUUCU
rnacentral:rRNA from 1 species